CUGACUAAAGCUUUAUUAAGCACUUUAUUUACACUAAUGAGAACACUAUUAAACUAGUGUAGUCUGA
rnacentral:tRNA from 1 species